GCCCGCGUAGCUCAAAUGGAGAGAGCGCCUGUUUACGAAGCAGGAGGCUGCUGGUUCGAGUCCAGCCGCGGGCG
rnacentral:tRNA from 1 species